GAUGAACGCUAGCGGCAGGCUUAAUACAUGCAAGUCGUGGGGCAGCAGGGUUGUAGCAAUACAAUCGCUGGCGACCGGCAAACGGGUGCGUAACACGUACGCAACCUUCCCGUUACUGUGGCAUAGCCCAGGGAAACUUGGAUUAAUACCACAUAUUAUAUAGAAGGGGCACCUCUUUUAUAUCAAAGCUUCGGCGGUAACGGAUGGGCGUGCGGUUGAUUAGGUAGUUGGCGGGGUAACGGCCCACCAAGCCUACGAUCAAUAGCUGAUGUGAGAGCAUGAUCAGCCACACGGGCACUGAGACACGGGCCCGACUCCUACGGGAGGCAGCAGUAAGGAAUAUUGGGCAAUGGACGAAAGUCUGACCCAGCCAUGCCGCGUGAAGGAUUAAGGUCCUCUGGAUUGUAAACUUCUUUUCUCUGGGGCGAAAACCAGCUAUUCUUAGCUAUUUGACAGUACCAGAGGAAUAAGCACCGGCUAACUCCGUGCCAGCAGCCGCGGUAACAC
rnacentral:rRNA from 1 species